UACAGAGGUCUCAAGCGUUGUUCGGAUUCAUUGGGCGUAAAGGGUGCGUAGGCGGCGCGGUAAGUCGGGUGUGAAAUUUCGAGGCUUAACUUCGAAACUGCAUUCGAUACUGCCGUGCUAGAGGACUGGAGAGGAGACUGGAAUUUACGGUGUAGCGGUGAAAUGCGCAGAUAUCAGGAGGAACACCGAUGGCGAAGGCAGGUCUCUGGGCAUUAACUGACGCUGAGGAGCGAAAGCAUGGGGAGCGAACAGG
rnacentral:rRNA from 1 species